UACGUAGGAUGCGAGCGUUGUCCGGAAUUACUGGGCGUAAAGAGCUCGUAGGUGGUUUGUCGCGUUGUCCGUGAAAACUCACAACUCAAUUGUGGGCGUGCGGGCGAUACGGGCAGACUGGAGUACUGCAGGGGAGACUGGAAUUCCUGGUGUAGCGGUGGAAUGCGCAGAUAUCAGGAGGAACACCGGUGGCGAAGGCGGGUCUCUGGGCAGUAACUGACGCUGAGGAGCGAAAGCGUGGGGAGCGAACAGG
rnacentral:rRNA from 1 species